rnacentral:rRNA from 1 species
GCCCGAGUGGCGAACGGGUGAGUAACACGUGAGUAACCUGCCCUUGACUUUGGGAUAACUUCAGGAAACUGGGGCUAAUACCGGAUAGGAGCUCCUGCUGCAUGGUGGGGGUUGGAAAGUUUCGGCGGUUGGGGAUGGACUCGCGGCUUAUCAGCUUGUUGGUGGGGUAGUGGCUUACCAAGGCUUUGACGGGUAGCCGGCCUGAGAGGGUGACCGGCCACAUUGGGACUGAGAUACGGCCCAG